CCUACUGGAGGCAUCAUUGAGGCAUCUUGGUCAAUGGGCGAGAGCCUGAACCAGCCAAGUCGCGUGAGGGCCUACGUUCCUAUGUAUUGUCCCCCUCUUUUUCCGCUUCUCCCCCAGCGGUACGUGUACCGCAUCGAGAGUACCCGGAGAAAAAGCAUCGGCUAACUCCGUGCCAGCAGCCGCGGUAAUACGGAGGAUGCGAGCGUUAUCCGGAUUUAUUGGGGUUAAAGGGUGCGCAGGCGGCGAGUUAAGUCAGCGGUAAAAUUUCGGGGCUCAACCCCGACAAGCCGUUGAAACUGGCUUGCUAGAGUGGGCGAGAAGUAUGCGGAAUGCGUGGUGUAGCGGUGAAAUGCAUAGAUAUCACGCAGAACUCCGAUUGCGAAGGCAGCAUACCGGCGCCCAACUGACGCUCAGGCACGAAAGCGUGGGUAUCGAACAGGAUUAGAUACCCGAGUAGUC
rnacentral:rRNA from 1 species